GGCUUGUGGCUCAGAGGUAGAGCACUCACCUAGGAUGCUUGAGGCACUGGGUUCGAUUCUCAGCACCA
rnacentral:tRNA from 1 species